rnacentral:tRNA from 1 species
GGAGAGGUACCCAAGAGGCUGAAGGGGUCGCACUCGAAAUGCGAUAGGUCGUUCACGCGACGCGAGGGUUCAAAUCCCUUCCUCUCCGCCA